GACAGAGGGUGCAAACGUUGUUCGGAAUUACUGGGCGUAAAGCGCGUGUAGGCGGCUAUGCAAGUCGGAUGUGAAAGCCCUCGGCUCAACCGGGGAAGUGCACCCGAAACUGCAAAGCUAGAGUCUCGGAGAGGAUCGUGGAAUUCUCGGUGUAGAGGUGAAAUUCGUAGAUAUCGAGAGGAACACCGGUGGCGAAGGCGGCGAUCUGGACGGUGACUGACGCUGAGACGCGAAAGCCAGGGGAGCAAACGGG
rnacentral:rRNA from 1 species